UGGGGAAUAUUGCGCAAUGGGCGAAAGCCUGACGCAGCGACGCCGCGUGAGGGAUGAAGGUCUUCGGAUCGUAAACCUCUGUCAGGAGCGAAGAAGUGUAACGGGAGUAACUGCCCGUUAUUUGACGGUACCUCCAAAGGAAGCACCGGCUAACUCCGUGCCAGCAGCCGCGGUAAUACGGAGGGUGCAAGCGUUAAUCGGAAUUACUGGGCGUAAAGCGCACGUAGGCGGCCUUAUAAGUCAGGGGUGAAAUCCCACGGCUCAACCGUGGAAUUGCCUUUGAUACUGUUUGGCUUGAGUUCGCGAGAGGGUGGCGGAAUUCCAGGUGUAGGAGUGAAAUCCGUAGAUAUCUGGAGGAACAUCAGUGGCGAAGGCGGCCACCUGGUACGACACUGACGCUGAGGUGCGAAAGCGUGGGGAUCAAACA
rnacentral:rRNA from 1 species